AAGAAAAAAUUAAAGAAAAAAAAUUUCUACCCCGUGGGGGGCCUGGUGUGCAAUAGCUACAAACAGCAACCUCCUCGGUAGUGUAUGCAGCCUGUUGCCUUUGUACGCUGCCCUUAGGGGCCUUGGAGACAGCC